rnacentral:rRNA from 1 species
GACGAACGCUGGCGGCGUGCUUAACACAUGCAAGUCGAACGGUAAGGCCCUUCGGGGUACACGAGUGGCGAACGGGUGAGUAACACGUGGGUGAUCCGCCCUGCACUUCGGGAUAAGCCUGGGAAACUGGGUCUAAUACCGGAUAGGACCACUGCCUGCAUGGGUGGUGGUGGAAAGCUUUUGCGGUGUGGGAUGGGCCCGCGGCCUAUCAGCUUGUUGGUGGGGUGAUGGCCUACCAAGGCGACGACGGGUAGCCGGCCUGAGAGGGUGACCGGCCACACUGGGACUGAGAUACGGCCCAGACUCCUACGGGAGGCAGCAGUGGGGAAUAUUGCACAAUGGGCGCAAGCCUGAUGCAGCGACGCCGCGUGAGGGAUGACGGCCUUCGGGUUGUAAACCCCUUUCAGCACCGACGAAGCGCAAGUGACGGUAGGUGCAGAAGAAGGACCGGCCAACUACGUGCCAGCCGCCGCAGUAA